rnacentral:rRNA from 1 species
GAUGAACGCUGGCGGCGUGCCUAAUACAUGCAAGUCGAGCGAACAGACGAGGAGCUUGCUCCUCUGACGUUAGCGGCGGACGGGUGAGUAACACGUGGAUAACCUACCUAUAAGACUGGGAUAACUUCGGGAAACCGGAGCUAAUACCGGAUAAUAUAUUGAACCGCAUGGUUCAAUAGUGAAAGACGGUUUUGCCGUCACUUAUAGAUGGAUCCGCGCCGCAUUAGCUAGUUGGUAAGGUAACGGCUUACCAAGGCAACGAUGCGUAGCCGACCUGAGAGGGUGAUCUGCCACACUGGAACUGAGACACGGUCCAGACUCCUACGGGAGGCAGCAGUAGGGAAUCUUCCGCAAUGGGCGAAAGCCUGACGGAGCAACGCCGCGUGAGUGAUGAAGGUCUUCGGAUCGUAAAACUCUGUUAUUAGGGAAGAACAAAUGUGUAAGUAACUAUGCACGUCUUGACGGUACCUAAUCAGAAAGCCACGGCUAACUACGUG